GGCGAGAUGGCCGAGCGGUCUAAGGCGCCAGACUAAGGAGCACCUAUUGGUAUAUACUCAUCUGGUCCGAAAGGGCGCGGGUUCGAAUCCCGCUUUCGUCA
rnacentral:tRNA from 1 species